UAACAUGGUUACAACCGAUUUUUAAGUUAACAAUAGUUCAAUCUAUUUUUAAUAUGUUUUCAAAAUAUAUCUUCAAUUCCAUGUAAUCGGAAAAUCGCCAUUAGGUUUGGAGUUUGGAUAAUUAAAAAUCUUGGUUUGUGGUUGUAAAUUGUAAAUUUGAAUUUGAAACUGCAGAAGGAGAUGGAAAAGAAAGGGGGAGGAAAAGUUAGGGCGAAUGAGAUAAAAGAGAGGCAGGAGGAGGAAAUACAGGGCUGUAAGUCCAGGUUAGCUACGCUGAUAGCACGGCGAACACUUCGUUCU